UACGUAGGGUGCGAGCGUUGUCCGGAAUUACUGGGCGUAAAGAGCUCGUAGGUGGUUUGUCGCGUUGUCCGUGAAAACUCACAACUCAAUUGUGGGCGUGCGGGCGAUACGGGCAGACUGGAGUACUGCAGGGGAGACUGGAAUUCCUGGUGUAGCGGUGAAAUGCGUAGAUAUCAGGAGGAACACCGGUGGCGAAGGCGGGUCUCUGGGCCGAUACUGACGCUGAGGAGCGAAAGCGUGGGGAGCGAACAGG
rnacentral:rRNA from 1 species